GGCUUCCUGGCCUAAUGGUAAGGCGUCUGACUACGAGUCGAGCAAUACUAAUCAAACAAUACUUGCUUGCUUACUUGCUUGCUUGCUCCGGGACAUCAGGAGAUUGUCGGUUCGACCCCGGCGGAAGUCA